GUCGCAAGGAUGCAACUCAAAGGAAUUGACGGGGGCCCGCACAAGCGGUGGAGUAUGUGGUUUAAUUCGAAGCAACGCGCAGAACCUUACCUGGGCUUAACAUCCCCUGACACCUACAGAGAUGUAGGGUUCCCUUCGGGGACAGGGUGAUAGGUGCUGCAUGGCUGUCGUCAGCUCGUGUCGUAAGAUGUUGGGUUAAGUCCCGCAACGAGCGCAACCCUUGUCCUUAGUUGCUACCAUUAAGUUGGGCACUCUGAGGAGACUGCCGGUGUUAAACCGGAGGAAGGCGGGGAUGACGUCAAGUCCGCAUGGCCCUUACGUCCAGGGCUACACACGUACUACAAUGGCAGGGACAAAGGGUCGCGAAGCCGCGAGGUGGAGCCAAUCCCAAAAACACUGUCUCAGUCCGGAUUGAAGUCUGCAACUCGACUUCAUGAAGCUGGGAUCGCUAGUAAUCGCAGAUCAGCACGCUGCGGUGAAUACGUUCCCGGGCCUUGUACACACCGCCCGUCACACCACGAAAGUGGUCAUACCCAGAAGCAGGCGAGCUGACCGCAAGGGGGCAGCCUACCAAGGGUGUGGCCGUGAUUGGGGUGAAGUCGUAACAAGGUA
rnacentral:rRNA from 1 species